CUAGACGAGUUUGAUCCUGGCUCAGGAUGAACGCUAGCGGCAGGCUUAAUACAUGCAAGUCAAGGGGGUAGCAAUACAACCGGCGCACGGGUGAGUAACACGUACACAACAUACCAUAUACUGAGGUAUAGCUUACGGGAAACUGAAGGUAAUCCCUCAUAGUAUUGUGAAAGGGCAUCUUUUUACAAUUAAAGUUUCGACGGUAUAUGAUUGGUGUGCGUUUGAUUAGCUAGUUGGUAGGGUAACGGCCUACCAAGGCAACGAUCAAUAGCUGGCGUGAGAGCGCGACCAGCCACACUGGAACUGAGACACGGUCCAGACUCCUACGGGAGGCAGCAGUAGGGAAUAUUGGACAAUGGGCGAAAGCCUGAUCCAGCCAUGCCGCGUGAUAGAUGAAGGCCCUCUGGGUUGUAAAUAUCUUUUAUCUGGGAAGAAACACUUCUAUUCUUAGAAGCUUGACGGUACCAGAGGAAUAAGCACCGGCUAACUCCGUG
rnacentral:rRNA from 1 species